rnacentral:sRNA from 12 species
GAUUUGUUGAUUCGUCCGAAUCUUAAAAAGCUAUACGGACAUAAAAAAACAUACUUGGAUAUCAAAAAUCCAAGUGGCGAAGC